UACGUAGGGUGCAAGCGUUAAUCGGAAUUACUGGGCGUAAAGCGUGCGCAGGCGGUGAUGUAAGACAGGUGUGAAAUCCCCGGGCUUAACCUGGGAACUGCAUUUGUGACUGCAUCGCUUGAGGGUCGGAGAGGGGCGUGGAAUUCCGGGUGGAGCGGUGAAAUGCGUAGAGAUCCGGAGGAACACCGACGGCGUAGGCAGCGCCCUGGACGACACCUGACGCUGAGGCGCGAAAGCGUGGGGAGCAAACAGG
rnacentral:rRNA from 1 species